rnacentral:rRNA from 1 species
UACGUAGGGGGCGAGCGUUAUCCGGAUUUAUUGGGCGUAAAGGGUGCGUAGGCGGUAUGUUAAGUCUAAAAUCAAAGCCCGAGGCUUAACCUCGGUUCGUUUUAGAAACUGGCAAACUGGAGUGCAGUAGAGGCAAGUGGAAUUUCUAGUGUAGCGGUUAAAUGCGUAGAUAUUAGGAGGAACACCAGUGGCGAAGGCGGCUUGCUGGGCUGUAACUGACGCUGAGGCACGAAAGCGUGGGGAGCAAAUAGG